UUUUUGAGAAUGUGGUCCCAUAAUGGAGCAGAGUGGAGCCUGGAGUGUCUGUUUCCUCUGGCUUGCCUCUCCUGCCCUCUAAACACCCUAAAGGCAGAGGCCACAUGUUCUCCCUCCAGUGAAACAGGGAUGUCAGAGCUGUGACCCUGUGAGGGUUAUACCAUUUCUUUUACAACUAUCAAGAAAGACACUUGAGCAAAACUUCACAAAGAUAGUGUUGGAAAAAAUACCCCCAAGGACCUCAAAACUCCUUUUGACAUCAUUAUUGCAUUCAGAAAAUUACACCUUUUAAAUGUAAAUAUUGUGACCAAUGUAAAUUCAUUUGAAUUAGUCUGGCCGAACCAUGUAUCGAAGCAUUGAAGUUCAUUAUAUGCUCACAUUUUUAAAAUAAGAUUUUUAGGCAUAGUUGUCUUUUUCUAAAGGUACUACAAUGUUUUAAAAUUCCAUAAUUUAACCAAAACCACAUAUUCAUACUUUUUUCAUACAAAGCAGCUGCACCAGCUAACUUCUGGUAGGUAUUGAAAAUAUAAUCUCAGACCUCAAAAUGCAGUCUUUGGUUAAGAGCUUUCACUCAAACAAACCCACUCCAAAGGGGAAAUCUUGUCAAGUACAAAGAAAUAACAGUUUUUAAAAAUCAUUAAACAUUCAAACUUCUCCAAUUUGAACUGAUGUUAAAGAAAGAUACAUUUUAUCCUAUACCUUCCCUGGGAGUGAUUGCUCUCCUCUUCAUGGGUGUAACUGGAAAUCAUUCCAAGUUGAGUCAUGUCACCCUUUUGCAUCACUGCAGGCUCUGGCUGUAAGCAUCUCUCCCUGGGAUGGGAGCUCCGUGGCCCUGACAGCUGCAAUUUCUUUAUGAUGGGGGCAGGGAUGAGGAGGAAAACAACAGUAGCUAGUACACCAGGUGCUUUCUAUGUGCAGUUUACCAUGCCAGAAAUUGACAUAUGUAUUUCGUGUAUGUUCCCUAACCCCGUAGGAGUUAAGACAUGUGUCUCAUAGGUGUUGUGAGGAUAAGGUAAGGCAGUGUAUAAAAAGCAAGAACAGCUGCUGGCUCAUAGGUCAGCAGUUGAUAUAUUUGCCAAUGGAGCCACAAAACCACCUUGUCCCUAGGAAAAUCUAAUGGGCUGGGUGGCCACCCCACCACCAGGAAACCUGACCUAGUGCACAGAGAACUCCCUUCAAAUCCUGUGGCCCACAGCAAUGGCUGCCACCCACCUUGCCAGGCCCAGAACCCCUGCAUUGUUCUGGCUUUGACUCCCAGGCCAGCAGUGAGGCUGCCCACCCUGCCUUGGAGAGAGGCUGCUGCCAGCUCUGGGCUGUGGAAUUUGGAAGAGAAGGUGGCCUGAAUGGCAUACCCACCUGUGGCACCCGUCCUGGGGAAAUUCCCAAGAGUAAAUUCUGGGCUGACAUUUUUGUGAUGAGGGGUUGGGAGUUGGGGCUAAACUGCAGAGCAAACCAGACUGAGGGUUAGGAGGAGGCUGAACCCUGUUCCUGGGUUAUUUUGACACCGUCUCCAGCAGAUUCAUUCACUCAUAUCACAAGCCUUUCUCAAGCACCUACUAUAGGCUGAAUGCCAAGUAUCCCCCAGUUCAGAAGGGAAAAAAGGCAGGUAAAGAAAUAAUUACAAUCUGCCGGGUGCGGUGGCUCACGCCUGUAAUCCCAGCACUUUGGGAGACCAAGGCAGGUGCAUCACCUGAGGUUGGGAGUUCGAGACCAGCCUGACCAACAUGAAGAAACUCCGUCUCUACUAAAAAUACAAAAUUAGCUGGGCGUGGUGGUGCAUGCCUAUAAUCCCAGCUACUCGGGAGACUGAGGCAGGAGAAUCGCUUGAACCCGGGAGGCGGAAGUUGCAGUGAGCCAAGAUUGCACCAUUGCACUCCAGCCUGGGCAACAAGAGCAAACUCCAUCUCAAUAAUAAUAAUAAUAAUAAUAAUAAUAAUAAUAAUAAUAACGAUCAUGUAGACAGGUGGGAAUGAUUUAGCUAACAGGGUAGGGAGCAGGCAAGACGUUAGAAAGGGCACCUGGAGAAGGCAUCUCUGAAAUUGCAUCAGUUCUUUUCUUGCCCUACUUCCAUGCACAGCUGAUUCAUGCACAGGGAAUGAGGUGUGUUAGGCUGUUAUUGCAUUGCUAUAAAGAAAUACCUGAGACUGGGUAAUUUAUAGAGAAAAGAGGUUUAAUUGGCUCACAGUUCUGCAGGAUGUGCAGGAAUCAUGACAUUGGCAUCUGCUUGGCUUCUGGGGAGGCCUCAGGAAACUUACAAUCAUGGCAGAAGGCAAAGGGGGAGCUGGUAUCUCACAUGGCAGAGCAGGAACAAGGUAGUUGUGUGUGGGGGGGUGUUACACUUAAACCACCAGAUCUCAAGAGAACUCACUAUCCCGAGGAUAGCACCAAGCCAUGAGGGAUCUGCCCCAUGACCCAAACACCUUGCACCUGGCCCCAUCUUCAGUGCUGGAAAUUACAUCUCAACAUGAGAUUUGGUGGGGCAUCCAAACUAUAUCACAAGGAGAGCCAAACUCC
rnacentral:lncRNA from 1 species